GUCGGCGAAAUAUUCUUGUUGCUGACAUCUUACGGAGACAUAACUAAUUGCUUCCGGGUCAUACCGCCAGAUGUCGCUGAUUGCUUUUUUACGUCGUAAAUCAGACUAUUUUGGCAAGAAGACACGCGUCCCAGAUUUGUUCAAUGUAAAUGGGCACGUCGCUUAGCAUGGACAGAGAUCGAACUUGUACUUUCAUUGUAUAUUUAAAUACGGCUUAUAAAUACCUAACAUAUGGAAAAAAUCAAUUCCAAUCCCACAGGCAAGCCUUUUAAUGCCAAUCAGAGACCAAGUUUAGGGUAGAACUAAUUAACAAUGAAAGACGUUGGACGUAAUUAACGCGAGCUUAUGACCUGCUCUGAAUGGGAACCCUCGUUCACGGUUCAUGAGGAAAUAAUAUCCAGAAAAUUCCAUAUGGGAACGCGUAUACCCUGUGAUAAAUAUAUGUAUGUAUUGACUUGUAAUAUGCUGUGAUAUUUUCUAAUGUUCUAAAUGCAAUUCUGUGA